rnacentral:rRNA from 1 species
GAUGAACGCUGGCGGCGUGCCUAAUACAUGCAAGUCGAGCGAACGGACGAGAAGCUUGCUUCUCUGAUGUUAGCGGCGGACGGGUGAGUAACACGUGGAUAACCUACCUAUAAGACUGGGAUAACUUCGGGAAACCGGAGCUAAUACCGGAUGAUAUUUUGAACCGCAUGGUUCAAAAGUGAAAGACGGUCUUGCUGUCACUUAUAGAUGGAUCCGCGCUGCAUUAGCUAGUUGGUAAGGUAACGGCUUACCAAGGCAACGAUGCAUAGCCGACCUGAGAGGGGGAUCGGCCACACGGGAACUGAGACACGGUCCAGAUUCCUACGGGAGGCAGCAGUAGGGAAUCUUCCGCAAUGGGCGAAAGCCUGACGGGGCAACGCCGCGUGAGUGAUGAAGGUCUUCGGAUCGUAAAACUCUGUUAUUAGGGAAGAACAUAUGUGUAAGUAACUGUGCACAUCUUGACGGUACCUAAUCAGAAAGCCACGGCUAACUACGUG